rnacentral:rRNA from 1 species
UUCCAGACUCCUACGGGAGGCAGCAGUGGGGAAUAUUGCACAAUGGGGGAAACCCUGAUGCAGCAACGCCGCGUGAGUGAUGACGGCCUUCGGGUUGUAAAGCUCUGUCUUCAGGGACGAUAAUGACGGUACCUGAGGAGGAAGCCACGGCUAACUACGUGCCAGCAGCCGCGGUAAUACGUAGGUGGCAAGCGUUGUCCGGAUUUACUGGGUGUAAAGGGCGUGCAGCCGGGCUGACAAGUCAGAUGUGAAAUCCCGCGGCUCAACCGCGGAACUGCAUUUGAAACUGUCAGUCUUGAGUACCGGAGAGGUCAUCGGAAUUCCUUGUGUAGCGGUGAAAUGCGUAGAUAUAAGGAAGAACACCAGUGGCGAAGGCGGAUGACUGGACGGCAACUGACGGUGAGGCGCGAAAGCGUGGGGAGCAAACAGGAUUAGAUACCCCAGUAC